UACGUAGGGUGCAAGCGUUGUCCGGAAUUAUUGGGCGUAAAGAGCUCGUAGGCGGUCUGUCACGUCUGCUGUGAAAACUCGGGGCUUAACCCCGGGCCUGCAGUGGGUACGGGCAGACUAGAGUGCGGUAGGGGAGACUGGAAUUCCUGGUGUAGCGGUGAAAUGCGCAGAUAUCAGGAGGAACACCAGCGGCGAAGGCGCCGCUCUGGGCCGUAACUGACGCUGAGGAGCGAAAGCAUGGGUAGCAAACAGG
rnacentral:rRNA from 1 species